CCUACGGGAGGCAGCAGUGGGGAAUAUUGCACAAUGGGGGAAACCCUGAUGCAGCGACGCCGCGUGAGUGAAGAAGUAAUUCGUUACGUAAAGCUCUAUCAGCAGGGAAGCAAAUGACGGUACCUGAGUAAGAAUCCCCGUCUAACUACGUGCCAGCAGCCGCGGUAAUACGUAGGGGGCAAGCGUAAUCCGGAUUUACUGGGUGUAAUGGGAGCGUAGACGGUUCGCCAAGUCUGGAGUGAAAUGCCGAAGCUUAAAUGCGGAACUGCUUUGGGAACUGGCGAACUAGAGUGCAGGAGGGGUAAGCGGAAUUCCUAGUGUAGCGGUGAAAUGCGUAGAUAUUAGGAGGAACACCGGUGGCGAAGGCGGCCUGCUGGACUGUGACUGACGUUGAGGCACGAAGGCGUGGGGAGCAAACAGGAUUAGAUACCCCAGUAGUC
rnacentral:rRNA from 1 species